UACCAUAUCAGACCACAUCAAUAACCAAUAAGUACUUGAAGUGAAAACUGGUGCACCUUCUCUUUCUUUGAUAGACGUUAAGAGUAUUGUUUAUCAUUACCUGCUUCCCCUUGCCAUCUGGACGCAUAAAAGCUUUGUCGCUUUGUAGUUGAGUAGGACUAUAUGACCUGCCUUGGAAGCGACAUCUGUCACCCCAGGCUGACACAGUGGAAAUCCCACUUGCAAUUCUCCAGCUGCCUUUCUCUUUCCCUACCAGGCAGGAAACUUCGUGUUGACGUGGUGGGGCCACCCAACUGAAGCGAACGCACUAUUGAUCAACACAGAAGUGUCACUCAGGCCUGCACUAGAAUCUGCAUGAAUGGACACAUCAACACUUUCCCUCGUGGAGUUUUGGGAGUCUUUCUUCUUGCACUGUACUCUGUUGGAAAUACUAAUGCAUCCACUAAUGCAUCUCCCAGGGGCACUGGCACUGAAGAAGAGGGGCAUGCCGAUUUCCAUGGAUCUCUGAUUUGUGGAUCAAUAGUUUUGAGCAGUGUAAGGAUCCUCACAGGGGUCUUACUGCCUUUCCACAAGGAUGGGGGCCAGUUGCGUGGCCUUAAAAGUGUCGCAGAUGGUGCAGAACUGGAAACCUACUGGUACUCAUUUAAGUGCCUUUUAGCUCAUUUCUGAGCAGGCCAUCAAAAAAGAAGUUAAGGCUGGACCCGGGGAAGCCAUCUAUGAGGUGGACACACCAGACCUUAAAUGAGCCUUGGUCAAUGCUCGGUGGUAAGAGAAUGUCACAAUAUAUUUUGUAUUGUUUGACUUUUGAGUCUUACCCCUUCUCCCUUCCUUUCUUCAACUACCCCCCUUCUUACUGGCAUUGUUUCUCUUUCUGUGACCUUUUCCUGCCUUCACCACAGAGCUAGUUGCUAUGGGAUGUUCGAGACCUCAUCCUUGAGAAGUUCACAAUUGACCUGGAGUUGGAGGAAUGAGACAUAGACCUGAGAGAAAUUAACUAAUUAUGAGACAAUACAUGCUUUGUACAAAUUGGAGGCAGGGGGCAGGUGAUGAGGUCUCUGUGGGCCUUCAUGGCAUUGGCUUCAGAUUUAUCUUUCUCCUUUCUGCUUCUUCACAUCUCCCCCCCAAACACAUGCCUUUAUUUUCUUCUCCAGCUCCAUGGCCUGUGCCUG
rnacentral:lncRNA from 1 species